ensembl:lncRNA
GGCAGGUGUGGCAACAACGUGUCUUCCUAGUACCAACAACAUGUGUAACCUGAUACCCGUACCACACAGAGGCAUACAGAGAGACAUGAGUGAUGGUCCUGUAGAGAGAUGAAGGAGAGGGGGAACGAGAGAGACACAUAGAAACAUAGAGAUACAGAGAGAGGGAGAGACAUGGAGAGGCAAACACAGGGAAGAGAUGGAGACACAGAGAUGGAGAUACAGAGUGAAGAGAGAAGCAUAGGAGAGAGUAGCAGCGGCAGGGAGACAGACUAAAAGAGAGCGACAGAGGAGACAGAACCAGGCUGAUGGAGACUGAACACCAUUGAGAGGGACAGGCCUCUAAUUGGACCAGAGACCGGAGAGGACAAUGGGGAGAAGUGGAUGAGUGUGAGAUUGAAACACUGCUGGGGAACAUUUUACUGGUUCUAACAACUGUGGACCGCAGAACCGUUGCAGUGAGCUGCCUCCACUUCCUCUCAGAGAGCAAAAGGGAGAGAGUGAGAGAGAGAGAGGGACAUAGAGAGAGAGAG